GACGAACGCUGGCGGCGUGCUUAACACAUGCAAGUCGAACGGAAAGGCCUCUUUCGGGGGGUACUCGAGUGGCGAACGGGUGAGUAACACGUGAGUAACCUGCCCUUGACUUUGGGAUAACUUCAGGAAACUGGGGCUAAUACCGGAUAGGAGCUCCUGCUGCAUGGUGGGGGUUGGAAAGUUUCGGCGGUUGGGGAUGGACUCGCGGCUUAUCAGCUUGUUGGUAGGGUAGUGGCUUACCAAGGCUUUGACGGGUAGCCGGCCUGAGAGGGUGACCGGCGACAUUGGGACUGAGAUACGGCCCAGACUCCUACGGGAGGCAGCAGUGGGGAAUAUUGCACAAUGGGUGGAAGCCUGAUGCAGCAACGCCGUGUGCGGGAUGACGGCCUUCGGGUUGUAAACCGCUUUCGCUCAUGACGAAGCUUUGUGUGACGGUAGUGGGUAAAGAAGCACCGGCUAACUACGUG
rnacentral:rRNA from 1 species